GGAGGAGAGGGAGGGAAGAGGUGAGACAGCCUUGGGAAUGCUCUGGCAGCAGCGCAGAGUUUCAGUGAGGAUGGCUUUCACUGCAGCAGGACCGCCCCUGGUCAACCUGCGUCCUGAGGGGCGGAUGGCUGCACCAGCAUCACCUCUCAGCACUCCACAGGCACAUCAGAGUCAUUAACGCCUGGUUAAGGCACCUGAAACGUGUUCGGUGAGAGCAACAGCAGAAAUCCGAGAAGAAGAAAGACUUUUUUUCCUGGUGAAGUGCCAUACUGCUGCACUGCGUUUCUCUGAGAUUACACGUGCCCUGGUCUACAAAUACGGAUAUGGUUACUACAGAAAUGGCCACAAUUUUCUGUCUUUCCAUUGUGCUGUUUAACUACACCAAGCAAAUAGAGACAUCUUAUAUUAGCAAUAUAUAUAUAUAUAAAAUGAAGAAGCUGUGUGCUUUUAACAUACUGCACUGCCAAUCAAAAUUUAUCUGGAUAUAUAGAGUGCUCCCUAUCCAUAUUCUGCCAAUGGUCCUCUGUUCCCCUUAACUCACCGUGUCCACAUCCUUUUCUCCUUGCUGACCUCCUCCUGCUGACCACCCGUCCCUGCAGCUCAGGUUGCCCUGAGAGGUGAUGGAUGCUCCAUCCCUGGAGGUACUCAAGGUCAGACUGGACAGGGCUCUGAGCAACCUGAUGGAGCUGUAGGUGUCCCCGUUCAUUGCAGGGGAGCUGGACUGGGUGAGCCUUAAAAAUCCCUUCCAGCUCAAAAGAUUCAAUGGUUCUAUAAAACUGCAUUCAUGCAAUUACUUUUGUACGGAGCCUUGUGUUUGACUGAAACUUCCAGAUAGGUAUUUUCUCUUCCAUUGCUGGAAGAGAAAUGUGUAUUUUUGGGCCUAAGGCUGCUCACAAACAAAGCACGAGCGGUUUCCAUGUCUCAUUUCUAUCUGAUACUGUAUUUGAAGCUUAGGUCUUGCUUCCCUGGCUCCUGCCAGGCAACCACAGAGCAUAACACCAGCAUACACCAGCUGCAGCAGCGAUGUGUUCCUUCAGGCCUUCAGUGUGCUGCUGGGUGCUGCAAGCUUUUCUCCAUCCCUGCUUCCCACCAUGCAAGCCAGCCAGCACAGCAAAGCCAGGAUAUGUACAGGAAAAAAAAAAAAGGGUGGUGUUUUGUUCUGUUUUGUUUUUUAAUCAUCAGUGUAACAAGCCAAUGAAGAAGCGCUGCCAAGGCUACUGUAUAAUUCCUGCAUAAUUUGGGGCAUCUAGGAGACCAAACCUGGUUCAGGGUAGGGAAGGUAAAGGAGUAAAUUGAGGUGGAUCAGUGCCCCCAAGACCAGAUGCAAUCAGCAGAAUGCGUUUGUUUCCCAUUCCUUACUCCCCAGAGAGGAGGCAGGAAAUAGUUGUUCAGGCAGGCUGCUGCCUCUUGCUCCUGCAGCUGUGCUAACACAACUAUCGGUUCUACUGCAGCAUCAGCCUGCCUGUGAAAAGGAGGAUGCUUUCACUCCCAAAGAGCCAUCUCCCAGAGCAGAGAAGCCUGGACUGCCUUUCCAGGGAUCCCAAACAUUCAGCUCCCAGAGCGUCCCGAGUGGAGAUUCUUCUCAACAUCUUAAAGGGAAAGCCACACCACGAAGGCUCUCCUUUCUGUUGCUUGCAUCCUCCGCAGCCUAAAUCCUGGGUCCUCCUGCAGAUCAGGCAGGUGUCAGUGUGAGCUGGUGCCAGCCACGCACACUGCCAGAAGGAGCAAUAGCACGACGCAAGCAAUAUGAUGAUGAUGCGAUCUACAGCACGUUCCUACUCCUGCCGAAGCCGGUGGAAAGAUUUCUGUUGCUGACAGCAGGUGUCAGACUGACAUUCAAGUCACACCAUGGAGUCAUCCUGCUGCAGAGCAGCAUCCUGGACAAGUCUGGACUCUACAGAAACGGUAAGGGUCCUCUACUAGGAUCUCGUUCUCACAUUCUGAAGCCAAUAAGGCAAGAUUCAAGUGAAAAAUGUCGCAUCAGUGAAAGCACAUCUAUGAGAAGAGAAAGGCUGUAUUUCUGUCGGUAAAUUGAAAGUCCUGGUGCUGUUCUGGGUAACAAGAAUGAGGAGCAUGGAGGGGCUGCACCUGUGCUGAUGAAUCCCUGCAGCCUUCAAAGGGGUGAGCAAAGCAUUUUCUAGGUGCACUCAAAGGAACAUCUGCAACCCUGCACAGUGAUGGAGAGCUGUUCGCAAGGUGGCACGUGGCAGUGACACUGGGGAACAGCUCUUUGGUGCAGACAUUUGCUUUUCAGGGUCUGGGUAUGGCUCCUGGUAUGGUUUGUUUUGGAUCUAUAGGGUUAGCAUGGCUUGCUCUAUGUUCCCUCCCCUUCAUGAGGAUGGUUGCUCAGGACUGCUGCAGGACAAUGAAAACACUGAAUGUUUUGCUGCAGAGGCAACAGCGUCAAGGCAGAAGUGCCAAAGGAGCACUUUGAAAACAGCAGAAUGAAAAACACUUGUAGAAUUCCUGAGAUAAGCCACAAAUACGACAAGGUUGCAGAAGGAAAGCCUGCGUUGCAGAUCCCUGGAACCCUACCAGAAAAAACACCCUAAGAUGUUUCUGCUCACCCUAUUGCCACAUCUCAGAGCCCCUUGACCAGGCUGUUAUAACUCUUUGCAGAGCUGUACUGCAAACCAGAUGAGAAGAUUCAAGUAAACGACGAGUCGGUGUACUGUGGUAUCGAGAUGAUACUCAGGAGGGCAGAUGCCCCUUACGCUGAUCUUUUAACUUGCUGUGAACACCUUUGUCUACUCUUCCACUUCUCUAGCCUCAAACUAUUUUGGAAAAGACCACAAAGUUACUGAAUGAAUGUUAUUACAAAAUAAUCAUCCAUGUGCUUCACCAGACAGUAAGCCCUGGUUCACAAAACACAACUUUAUGAAUUAAUAUUUGCAGUUUUUAAUCGCCAUCUCAUAUUUUGCUCCCAACUACAGGCACCUCCCAGCGAGGGGAGCAGAAGCAGGAUUGGUUUAUUUAGGCCAGGACACAGAGGUGGCAAAUACAGAACUGUACAGCUGACCGUACCACAGUUCACUCUCUGCACCAGUGAUCAAGCUGUAUCAGUUCUUUUCCCCCUCUGAACGCUUUGUGUAACAUACCAGCACACCAAGAACGGUGUAUUUCACAAUCAGCCUGAAGCUUGCUCUUAGCAUACAAGCGCCAGUUCUAAUCAAGUUCAAGUGCUCAAAUGAUCUCUGAAAACAAUUACGAAAUGGUAACUCCCACUGCAGAUUCGAAAUCUACUCGGGAAUUUGAUUAGAGAUUUUUGGAAGCAUUUUCCCCAUCCACCAGCCUUGGCUGUCAUUUCCCCUAACAUAGUUUCUCGAAGCACAAAUAUAUCAGUUUAUUACAUCUACGUGCAGUAAAACAAAGUGGUACCGAGAAUGAUUUCGGAUUUUUUUCAUCUUCAGUCCCACAGAAAUGGUCCAGUAGAGUUUAGCAGCCUUCAGCGCACCCACAAGUGGUUAAUUUACUGAUUAGAUCAGGUUUUUAUUACCCUUUCUUCCUUCCUUUGCUGCCUCACUGCACAAAUGCUCUUCUUUUUUUCUUUUUUUUUCCCUUUUGCAACUUGAUUCUUUUGGUUCCUUUCACUGCACGUUAUCUGCUGCUGGCAGUAAUCUUAGCUCUUCAACUGAUAGCAAAAUUAUGAGGUGCUCAGUGCAAGAUGACAAUUUUCCUUCCCUCAUUCUAAUUCAUUUGCAGCACCAUCAAGGAAUCAGCGUCAUCUUUUCAAUGAGUUAACAGCUC